rnacentral:rRNA from 1 species
GACGAACGCUGGCGGCGUGCUUAACACAUGCAAGUCGAGCGGUAAGGCCCUUUCGGGGGUACGACGAGCGGCGAACGGGUGAGUAACACGUGGGUGACCUGCCCUCAGCUCUGGGAGUAAGCCCGGGAAACCGUAGGGUCGUAAUACCGGAUAUGACUCCAUGACGCAUGUUGUGGGGUGGAAAGACCUUGUGCGGCUGAGGAUGGGCCCGCGGCCUAUCAGCUUGUUGGUGGGGUGAUGGCCUACCAAGGCGACGACGGGUAGCCGGCCUGAGAGGGCGACCGGCCACACUGGGACUGAGACACGGCCCAGACUCCUACGGGAGGCAGCAGUGGGGAAUCUUGCGCAAUGGGCGAAAAGCCUGACGCAGCGACGCCGCGUGA